GGCUAAGGCAACGAUUGGAAGUGGAGGAAGAUAGACAGAUUGGUUCUGUCUGGCAUGUAGAUGAAACUGGUCAGUUUCUCCGAAAUCCAGCUGUUGCUCGUCGAGCCAACUCUGGAUUUGGCCCAUUAGAUAUUUACCAACAGCAACAGAUACCCCUUCCUGAAGAGCAUGUCAGUCAUCUGGAAAGGAAUUUGUCAGUGCAGGAUAGACUUCAGCGGGGUCUCUAUGACUCUGGAUUACUGCCUUUAGAACAUACAAUGUCAGUAACUGGUGGUGGUCCUGGUGUUAACUUGGAUUAUACCCCUUCCUGAAGAGCAUGUCCGUCAUCUGGAAAGGAAUUUGUCAGUGCAGGAUAGACUUCAGCGGGGUCUCUAUGACUCUGGAUUACUGCCUUUAGAACGUACAAUGUCAGUACCUGGUGGCGGUCCUGGUGUUAAUUUGGACGCUGUAAAUCCUCUAUUGCGCGCACAAGGUCUAGAAAUGCAAGAUACAAAUUCAAGAAUGCAAUCAGCUGGUCAUAUGCCUGGGUUCUCG
rnacentral:lncRNA from 1 species